CAUCGAGCUAAUUCAGCCCAUUUUAGCCCAGUUGAAGCCAACGCGCUCCCCACCCGCCGCUUCGCCCCGGCGGAGGAGCGUCAGUGCCGCCGCGCCCAGAUCGCCUCCGCAGUUCCGCUCCCUCUCUUCGCUUGUCUCUCUGCCCCUCUGCCGCUAGUGGCGUUCUGUCUCGAUCCUAUCCUAUGGCGCGACCUCCCCCAGCCCUCUCCCCCAAAAUGUCGCCAUCUCUCGCUAGGGUUUCGCUGUGUCUGGUCACUGAAGGAAUAAAGCUGGCAGUUGCACUAUAGUUGCUGUACUGCCUGGCUCGUUGCAUUGACUGGUCAAAUUCCCAAUGAUUCUUCUGAGUUGUCCAGCAACUCUUUCCUGGAAGGACAGAUUCAUUCUACUAUGAUCUGUAGUAUAGGGGUGCAUUUUGCAAACAUAUUUGGUGCCAUAUAGUCCAAUGCAUAUACUCUUAUUCCUUACAGAGCUAAAUGUUGUGGCUGAUACAUGGGAGUGUUUUGCCCAUAAUACACAGUCAUCAAGUAAAACUUGUUGCAAACUGUGUUAGCCUACAUGUAUUGAUACAUUCCCGAGAGUUUGUUGGGAGCUGAAAGGGCAUACAUGAUUCAGAUAUGCUAAUUGGUCAAGCUUAAUACAUUGGGAAUCUCAAAUUUGCAGAA